rfam:Leptolyngbya sp. Heron Island J, whole genome shotgun sequence.
GGGUUGUUAGCUAAGUGGUACAGCAGCCGUCUCUUAAACGGAAGAGCGUAGGUUCGAUCCCUACACAACCCA